CUGGAAGGAGGAGAGAUGACUAGAAAUGAUUCGGUUGGCCGUUUUUUGUGUGGAUUAAUUGUCGGAGUAGAGGUCCUUGUGCAUUUCAGGAUAGCAUCAUCCACAUUAGGAAGAUGACAUCUCUGAUGGAAGGAGCGAGGACACUUAUCACAGCAUAUCAAGCUGCCCUGGCUUCUACAGAUGAAGCAGUCGUCAUCGUUAUCGUGAUCAUGCUGCCAAGACAGAGAAGAGAGGAAGGUGAGAAGGAAUUGUUUAACAAUCAAGCACCAACUGUCUGUUUGUGUGUUAACGAAUAUCGUACAGAUUGAUUUCCCACACCCUCGGGUGUAAAACAAGGACAUACCUUAUCACCAACUCUGUUUGCUAUGUUUAUUAAUGAUUUGGCAAAAUAAAUUAAACAGUUAAAUACUGGAGUAAGAUAUGGUUAUGAAAUGCUGAUUUAUAUUAUUUUGACGGCAGAAACUGAACAAAACCUGCGGGAAAUGUUAUUACGUGCAGUCAAUUGGUUUUCAAUUUUGUGGUGAAGACAUUCUUGAGUUUACUAGCAAUUAUAAAUAUUUGGGUCUUUAUUUUGAUGAACAUAUGAACUUUCAAUACAGCACAACUGCCCUGGCUGACUCAGCAUGUAGAGCUUUUGGGAGAUUUAUAGGAAAAACAAGAACACUCAAAGAUGUUGGUUAUGCCACAUAUUCCAAACCUUAUCAGACGUGUGUGUCCUGUUGUGGACUAUUCAGCAGGAGUGUGAGUUGCUGAGAGGUAUCUCAAAGCAGUACUUAUUCUUUAGGUUUCUACAAGUUUGCACCUACACUGGCAAUAACUGGACUGGGAACCCUGUGAAGUGAGAUGGAAGGCGUGCAUGGUGAGACUUUGGAAUAGGCUGUUGGAUAUGCCUAUUGCCAGACAAGUUUUUCAAUGGGAUCUCUUCACAGGAGAAGCCUGGGAAACCAAAAUGUCAGUCAGCCCUUUUCCAGCAGCCUGACUUUUAACAUUUGUACGAAGACCAAAUUAAGGGAGAUAUAGAUACUAUUUAAAAACAACUGAUGGUGUGAUAUGAAAAUAAAUGGGUGGGGGAGAUGAAUCAUAAACCCAAAUUGAGAACCUUUUGCUUGAUUAAGGGUGAAUUUGUGUUUGAGAGAUACAGUAUAUUAUGUGCAACCUACCUAAAAGCAAGAGAUCGCUACGUGUAAGAUCAGGGAUAUUGCCCGUGUAACAGUUGAACUUUACGUCCGUCCCCUCGCCCCGACCCGGGCGCGAACCAGGGAUCCUCUGCACACAUCAACAGCAGUCACCCACGAAGCAUCGUUACCCAUCGCUCCACAAAGGCCGCGGCCCUUGCAGAGCAAGGGGAACCACUACUUCAAGUCUCAGAGCAAGUGACGUCACCGAUUGAAAGGCUGCUAGCGCGCACCACCAUUUUCACUAGCUAGCCACCAUUUUCACUAGCUAGCCAUUUUCACAUCGGUUACAUUCGUGCGUAUUGAAACAGGUCGGUUAAAUGGAUUAGGGAAAACGAGGUAAUUAUUGUGACCUCGAAGAAAUAGAGAAUAACAUUAAUUUGAUCAUCUAUUGCACUUUCUACCGCGAUAUAUACAUUUUUCCUUAUUCCAGAAAGCCCACCAGAUUUACCCUGGCAAUAUGUGGCUGAGUGAUGAGGAGAAACUGAAAUGUUUUUUUGUACAUUUUGUAUUUCUGUUUGCUGAAUUUCUUGAUAAAGCCUGGAAUAAAAGAAAAAGGGCAACCUAUAAUUACAUUCUAAAAGUAUUUAGCUCCUAUAUAGCAAAGUGCACGUAUGUGUAUAGAUUGUCUGUAGGGAUGUCUUACAAUCUUCUCUCUGAUCUCACACUUGAAUCUUCUCUUUGUGCAAGAUCAGGUUGAAACACCUUCUGUUGAAUUUUUCUGUAUUUAUGUAUAAUUUUUACUGAUCUAGGGUUAUUCUUAUUAUUGGUUGAAAAACCUUAUCUACUAUUAUGCACUGAUUUAUUUUUCAUUAUUCAUGCAGUGCACACUGCGCAGAACACCAGAAGAAUUAUCACUGAAUUAUCACUGUGAAUCAUUGUAAUUUCUUUGUGUCAAUUAAUCCUGUAAGGGAUGGAUUGCCAACUGAUGAUUUGACACGAAAAUGUAAUUAAUUCAUUCAUUCAUUCAUUCCCUUUACAGUGAUGUUAAGAAACAUCUUGGAAUUUCAUUAUUACAUCUGAAGCAUUCGUUUAACCAAUGUGAUUGGCUGAUUGGUAAGUGGGUGCCACCAUGUUCCCGAGGGUCGAGGGAGAAACGUACCCUGUCUUUGGCCGUGGAGCUGCACAGCUUGCACUUACACAGGAGAGAGUGGAUGACCAAGAUCUUGCUCUGAAAAUGAGAAACAAACAAAGAGAGUAGUAGUACUAGUAAAACGGUUUUGAAGAAGGGAAAUGUUUUCAUCACAGGUCCUUAAAGACCUUGCAGACUAUCUUAAACCAUUCCUUGUACAGUAGGUUGGUAAGUGCCAAACACACAUUUUUUCUCUCAUCUCUCUUCCUCUCUCUCUCUCUCUCUCUGUGUUCUCUUUCCGUCUGUACCUCGAUGAGGACGCUGAGUGGUUUCCCGUCCCACUGGAUGUCUUUCUUCCAGGAAGGAUCUUCCAGAGCUGACUCCCUCGUCACAAACUCCACCGGGGUCAUCCAGCACAGCUCCGUACGGAUGCUCUUUCCACACGACCCUGGGGCAACAGAGAAGAUAGGGGCAAAAGGAAAAACUCAAAUGAAACCCUAUUAUAACCUUAAUAUACAUUUUAUAUGGCGCAUUACAGCUGACCAGAGGGACAUAGGGCUAUUGUAAAAUAACAUGUAGUGUAUUGUCAACAAUAGCUAAAAGUGUGUCAUUUACUUUACUUUAUUACGUUUAUUUUUCGCAGGAACAUUUUCAGUAAAAGGGCCCGUUUUAGCCAGUCGGCAAACUUUCUACCGUAGUCCCUGGGCAGUACAGACAAUUAGCACAUACAGAGCAGAGAGCAACAUAUGACAACUAACACUUAGUACACAGACAGACAGAGCAAUGACACAAAAAGCAACCAAACAAAAGACAGAAAAUUAACAAACAAUAUCUACACACCUAACAAACUACAGACAGGUUGAUUGUUGCAUAGUUACGUGUGGCUGAAAGCAGUGAGUUCCAGACAUGGGAAGCUCUCACAGUGAAAGCCGUCUGACUGAAGGUGCUUUUCCUGAAGGGAACUAUACAGUCACCUCUCAUGGCAGACCUUGUGGAUCUGCUGAAAUGGGUUUUCUGCUUGAUAAAAGCACUAAGUGGGGGCAGUAUUUGAGGUGCAGCCAGAGAAAGAGGGUUGCCAACAUGUAAAAGUGUCUCCAGUACCUUCAAUAGUUUCAAAGACAUGGCGAUAGCUAUAGAAUGUUGUUUAUUAAACCUUGAGAGAAUAAAAUAUGUACCUGAUGCAAACCGAUCAUUAUGUAGCAUUCCAUUGAUGGCUCCACAGGUGACUUUGAAGACAGUCUUUUUCACACCACAAUGGUUGCCUCCUGUACUGCUCUCUUCAGCAGUGUUUGCCUGAUCUCUUCUCUCUCUUUCCUCUCUUUCCUGCUCAGCUUCUUCUUCCUCCUCCUCUUCCUCCUCAUCAUCGUCAACCUCCUCAGAUUCUAAAGUGAAGAUAAACAAAAAGGAUUAGGGAAAGAUGGUUUAUUAUAUAAGUGUGAAGGGUCAGGCCUGUGUUAUUCACAAAACCUUAUAACAACAAAAACACAGAGUUAGAGAGACAACACCAUCCCCUUUACCAGAUAGUCAUGUCUAAAGGAUUCAGAAAUAUUCCAUUGAGCUGUGAUUGGUGUACAUACCUGUGCUUGAGCCCGCUGAUUGGUUGAAGGGAAACAGUGCUCUCUUGGCCUAGAUAGGAGAAAAGGAACAGACCACUUUUACAUAUAUCAGUCACAUAAUAGACUCUUCUUUAUCCAAUAUGGUAAGAACAUGGACAAACAAAAUGGUCACUGGUCAACGUAUGAUCACGCACAAGAAAUAUAAAUUCAUGCCCGUAUAAACAUCACAACAUCAACAGAUAAAGCUAAGCUGUUGUCAAGUUUAGAUGUCUCAAUAAAACUGAUCCAUGACUAACAAUCAUAAACAACAUGUACUCAGAUGCUAUGACGAUGCAGCACUUUCUAUGCAUUUUCAAUGGUCCCACAUGUUCCUAUGCCCAGUAUGGUAUAAGGUUGUACUUACAGAAGCUGAAUUACCAUGAUGUGUUACCGUUUUAUUCAUUCAUAAGGGACCUCCGAACAGUUAUUCAGUUAUUACAAAGUAUUUUUUUUUACAUAGAAUGAUGUGGGUGAACUGUUAUCUAGAUAUACAGUAUGAUGUGGAUGUACUAACCAUUUGAGGGCAUUUGUACAACUAAAUAGUCAAAAAAAGUUUGACUGUUAAUCCAGAGGAUGUGGUAUAUUGAAAGUUUGGUCUCCUACCUGUGCACUCUUUCUUCUUUUAAAGUCUGGUGAAGUUAAAUGACCUUCCUGAGGUUGGUGGGAUGAUGAUGGGAGGGGGAGAGAAAGGGGGACAGACAUUGCUUUUGAGUGUUGAGUGACUGAAUGGAACAUCAGUGAAAUAACUGUACAGUUUGUUUCUUUACAGAAAAACAAAAAGGGUAUAAUGUGUAGCUAUAGUUCGUUGCUCUGUCUGGCCCAAUUUUCUGGUAUAUGUAAUGAUAAACCGAUAUGCUGUGGUAAGAGUAGGGGAGACCGGGGUUGGUUGUCUCACGGGUUGGUUGUCACAGUGCUAAUUACUACCAACCGAAAUGGAGCUGUGUGAAUUCUUCGAAAUAACUCAUCCACCUGGUCAGUUCAUGUCAAUAUGACAAAACAUUGAGGUGAGGGGAAUGUAUUUUUUAUAAGUACAAGUAAAACAAUGUGUGAUAUUUUCUAUUUUCUUUGUAAAUGUUUGAAUUAUGGGAGUAUCCAUGAACACCUACAUUUGUUGAAAAGAGGAAAAAGGGAGAGCUAUAUUUCAAACCUAUUUCUGAGUCCCUAGGUCAAGCCACGAGUUAACUAGCAUCUUAAACUAUUGAGUCAUAUCCCAGUCUACCUAUUUACUUAUUUUUAUUUAAAAAAAAUGUUUACCUUUAUUUAACUAGGCAAGUCAGUUAAGAACACAAAAAAUAUUUUAUAUGAGCAAAAAAUAUUCCACUUUAUUUGGAAUGGCAAGCCAGGCAAAAUUAAACAGGCAUAAUUAUAUAAUGAAUAUGCAUUCGGAGGGUGGACAUGAUUAAAGCCUUGAACCUCUCACUAAAGGCUUCAGCCAUACAAAUGUUGUACUGAAAUCCAAACUGGUUUUCCAGCAGAUUAGUAAGAAUGGCUCACCCCAUGUUAAAAAUAGCCUUUUUCCCUUUAUUCAGAUUACAACUUCUCACUUUCGGUUAUUUGAGAAUAAAAUGAUCUCCAGAAUAUCGCUAUUUUUAAAACAGGCUAUAGAAAGCUGGUUGCAAUUUCAGUUUUAUGCAUCAGAAAAGACAGAACAAAUAUUACAACAAAUAUUAUGGUUCAACUCAAAUAUACUAAAAUAUACAAAUAUACUAAAAAAUGAUAUAAUCUUUGUUAAUGAUAUCAUAAAUAUGACUGUUGGAGUUGUCACACAUGCAGCUAACAAAAAUAUAUGGAAAUAUGCUAUAUCCAAAUUUACAACCAACUGAUUGCAGCAUUACUACACAAAUAAAAAGGCAUGUGGAAGGGGAAGAAGGUAAGGAAGUUGUCUGUCGACCCUACAUUAAAGACCAACAUUUGUUAAAGAAAAUUGUGAUUACAAAAAAGUAUACCAGUUUCAUUAAGAACCAAAAAAUUGAAAGCUGCGCAAAAUAGUUAGGAAGAGAUUUCGAUGUGCAGAUUCCAUAGCACGUGGUUUUUGAACUGAUACACAAAACAACACUGGAUUAAAAAGUUCGUUUUUUCAUUUAAUUAUUGUACAAAAUUAUUGCAACCAAUAGAAUGUUAUGUAUAUGAGGGAUACAACCAAUCCCAGCUCUGGAGAUUUUGCUGCGAAGAGACAGAAUCAUUAGAUCACUUGUUUUGGUAUUGCCCAUAUGUAGGGCGGCAGUAAAAUGUUUUCUUAUUCUUAAGGCAUAAAAUACAGAAUUUUAUUAGGAAUAUUGUUUGAUCAAAGAAAGGCUAUUUCUAAGAAUCUGUUUGCUACAUUCUUCACCUCUUGUUACAAAAGCAAUAAGCAACAAUCAAGCAUUGUGACAACCAACCCCAUACUAUGUGACAUCUAACCCCACGAUGGGGCUGGUUGUCACAAGUGGACAGAGUGUGUUUGAAAGCUUAUAAAAUUAAAUAAAAUGUUAUUUGUCACGUUUUAGAUAAUAAACAGUAGCAGCAGCAUAUGUGGUGAGAGUGAAAAUGUGUGUGUGAGCGGUGUUAGUAUGCAUGUGUGUGCAUGUUAUGUGUGUGGGUGUUCGGGAUUGACAUCGGUAACCGGGAUCCCGGGACUGUCCCGGAAACACUUACACUUCCCAUUUCCUUAAGAAAUGUAAUGGCAUUUUCCCCCAAUGUCGGCACAAAUGCAAUUCCAUAAAAUACACAACAUGAGCAGCAUCAGAUUAGCAAAAAAUCUAAUUAUCAUAACAGGGUGUCGCAUGAAAGCCUUUAGCUUAGCGUAGUUACUUCACACAAAGUGAGCAUGAAUUCAAAGCACACGCAUAAUUGACACUGCCGGAUUGCACACGCGACCCGAAUGCAGGUAAUAAACCCUACAGGGUCUAACCCCUAAGUACGACCUAUAAAAGAAAGUGUGCCUCUUUGAGCUGUCAUUGUGACUCUUCAGACAGUCACAAAUUUGAUAGGUCUAUGCACAAUUCACUACAUAUGCAUCUCUGUCAAAGACAUGAAGUCUGUUAACAAUUCAGAGAGGCAUGAGGGAAAAGGCUAUCUUCUCCUGUCCUAGAGCCUAGUGUCACGCCCUGACCUUAGAGAGCUUUUUAUGUCUCUAUUUUGGUUUGGUCAGGGUGUGAUUAGGGUGGGCAUUCUAUGUUAUUUUUUCUAUGUUUGUAUUUCUUUGUUUUGGCCGGGUAUGGUUCUCAAUCAGGGACAGCUGACUAUUGUUGUCUCUGAUUGGGAACCAUACUUAGGUAGCUUUUCCCUACCGAUGCUUUGUGGGUAGUUAUUUUCUGUUUUCUGUUUCUGCACCUGACAGGACUGUUUCGGUUUCGUUCAUUCUCUUUGUUAUUUUGUUAUAGUGUUCAGUUUAAAUAAAAAGCAUGAACACUUAC